GCCUCCCCUCUACCACACCACCACCCGUGGCUGCAGCUGUUGCCGCACAGCUCUGAGCGAGCCGAGGUCCUAGCAUGGCUUCCUCCCCUCCGCCCCUUGAUUGCCAGGCACACCUGUUGCACAAUCCUCUCUGAAGUCGGCGGGAGAGCGGCCUGGACCAGCCUCAGAAUUUACACCUGCAGCAGCCCCUCGUUUAGCUUUCUGGAUCCCAAGGGUACAACAAGGCUUCCCUCUCCUGGCCCCUGCGCGGGCACACGGGAUCCGGCUUUGCUGCUGGAGGGCGGCCAAGCUGGGGGUACGACUGAACCCACCACCCCGUGUGCGACGCAGAGCUGCCCUCCAGCCCGUCCCGUCUCCCCCUCCCCAUCCCCGUCCCCUUUCUUGCUCUUUGGAGAGGCUCCGGAAACGUUUGUCCGGUGGUUAAGGGCAGAAGGGCAGAGAUGAGCUGGGACCUCGACACCAGCUGGAACUGGAAAAUUAUCAAGCAGGGAGUGGCCUCCCCCGGGAACUUCCUUAACUCUGGUCCUGACCUGCAUCCCUCAGAAGCCUGCGGCUUUUCAAGAUUGACAGAGCUAAAGACAAUGGAAACAGUAUCAAUAGAAAGAAAGCUACAGGCCACAGUACCACAGUACCAGAACAUCAAGCUAUUUGGCUGCAGAUGUGUACUACUCUUCAAGAUAAGAAAAAGCAGUAAUCCUGAAGGCAAUUCAGAGGUCAUCAGGUCUGCCUCCUUGGUUUUCAGUGGGGGAGAGAGCCAUUGCCUUGGUUUCAGCAGGCUAGACAGUGGCAGCCUAGAGCCUGGAGAAUGAGAAUUCCACUCAGCUGAGCCUUGGGAGUGGAUGUGACUCUCACAUUGCAGAGCUUUGAGGGCACAACCCCCACCCAAAAGAGCCUUGCAGGACAUGGGUCUCGAAGACAGAGCAUCAUACUAAAAAGAAUUAUUCUUGAGCCUCAAGAUCUGAUGGCAUUUGUUUGCUAGGUUUUGAACUUGAUUUGGAUAUGUUACUCCUCUCUUCCUCCCAACUUCUCCAUUUUGUAAUGGGAAAGUCUAUUCUAUGCCUGUUCCACUAUUAUAAUUUGGAAGUACAUAACUUACCUGGUUUUACAGGCUCACAGCUGGAAAGAAAUUUUGUCUCAGGAUGAAUUGUACCUUGAGUCUCAUUCAUAUCUGAUUUAGAUGUUUCUUAAGUGAGACUUUGAAGUUCAGAGUUGAUGAUAGAAUGAGUUAUGGAUUUUGGUACUAUUGGGAUAGAAUUAAUACAUUUUAUGUGCAAGAAAGACAUGAAUGAUGGGGGCCAGGGGUGGAAUGUUAUGAACUAAAUGUUUGUGUACCUCUCCUGCCAAAUUCAUAUGUUGAAACUCUCACCCCUAAUGUGAUGGUAUUUGGAGUCAAGGCCUCUGGAAGUUAAUUAGGUUUAUAAAGGUGGGGGUCUCAUGAUGGGAUGAGCGUCCUUACAACAGGAAGAAGAGAAACCAGAGCUUGGACUCUCUGCCAUGUGAGAACACAGUAAGAAACUGGCUGUCUCCAAGACAGAAAGAGGUCCCUCACCAGAAACCAGAUCUGCUGGUACUUUGAUUUUGAACUUCCCAGGCUCCAGAACUAUGAGAAUCAAACAUCUCCUGUUUAAGACAGCUUAUGAUAUUUUGUUGUAGCAGCCUGUGCCGACUAAGACAAGACUGAAGAGAUAUGGGUGUCAAUGACUGGUGACUACACAAAAGGAAGUGAGGAGCAUGGUAUGUAUUUUCUCUAAGAAAAUGUCGAUCAUCUUAGAGAAGAUUUACAUCAACAUGAAGAGACCAAUGGUAGAAAAAUACAGAAUUAAAUGCACUGCAGGUGAAGGUUCAGAUGAGUGAAAAGAAAAAAACUUGUUUUUGGAAACUGGAGGAAUGGAGAUCUUUUCCAUAGCAUGGCAGACAGCUCAGCUGAAUUGUAUCAUGCAGUAAAUGUAAAGUUACUUACUAUUUUAUUCUUUUGAAAUUAAUAAGUAUCUUAUAAGAAGCUACUUUGAGACAAUGUAAGUAAGUACUGCAUACUGCUUUUCCUUAAAGGUUCAUCACUAAUUUUAGCAGCCACUGAUGUUUCCUUGCUGGAAUAAAAUUAUUGUGAUGAUGACUGUCAAAUGGUCAUUUCCUACCUUCAUCAUUUCUUCUAUAUCUUUUAGUUGACUUCUACUGCAACAAACAAGCAAAAACUCCUUUUCUUCUUUCCUUUUCAUCUAAUCCCUCCCUUUCUUCUUUCCUGCUUUCUCCUUUACUUUUUGGAGCAGAUAAGUUCUUGAGGGAGCCAUGAAUCAUAUCAAAAAAGUGUCAUAUUAUUUUAGCUACUGGAUUGAUGGUGACUAUUGUUUUCCUUGUCAGAAAAUAAUUACUAAAGAAAGUAAAUAUAGACACUCUCUUAACUGAUCUUAAUUUACCCAACUCCUUGGGUUGACAUUUCCUAUUCUGUCGGUAAAACCUAAUUAUUAGCUCAAAUUAUGCUGAAUACGCUUGACAAUUACAUCAAGAGAGUCCCUAUUGAGUCUCUAGUUCUAGGGUACAUCUACUCUCUCAAAAGUUCUACAGCAAAUAAAGGUGAUUUGUAUUUAUUUGUAAAUCAGUUUAUACAAAAGAUUAUUGUAGUUACAGAAAGUAGAUAUUUUUACUUGCUUUGAUUAAAUAUUAAUAUAAAAGAUUGUUUCUAUGUAAAUCAUAGUAAAACUUUAUUGUUUUACACUAAGAUACCUUUGAAAGUGUCUUAGAAUUCUUACUCUAUUGAAACAAAAAUAAACUGUGUAUUUUUCUACAAGAAAGACAAGGCAGAAUAGUAGACCCACAUUUGGCCCUUGCCCCUACUUAAAAGACUGAUAAAUAAAUAAAUGAUAAUAACAAAAUAAUAAAAUUUACCCUUAAUUUAUUUUAAGUAUAUUCAUCUUUUUUACAGAUAUGCUUCUUCAUCUUUUAUUGACUUUUUUACUUACACAACUAAUUACUAAUACCAGUCUCCUCAGAUAAAUGAACUUUGGUUAUUUUGAUAGCUUUCAGGACCUGAAACGUAUAUCAAUUCACACUGUAAAUUUGAAAGAUAGAUAAUUCAACAGUUUUAGGCCAUCUACCAUGUAUACAAGUUUUGGUGAUGACCAAAUCACCAUGAGAAAAUUUCUGUGUAGAUAAAGUAACUUUUCCAUCUGAAAACGCUAGACUAGUUCCUAGAGAAUAAUCAGGCAAGCCAUGCUGCUUGGGGGGGAAAAAAAAAACAGAGCUUUAGAGAAGUCCGCCACCAGGAUUCCUAGAGACUGAGAGAGAGCUAUGAGGAGGAAAGGACACUUGAUCUUUCCCACCUCAGCCUCUCAAAGUGGGAUUACAGGUGUCAACCACCACGUCUGGCCCCAACCUGAACUUCUUAAUGUGACUAGGACACUGUAUGAUGUAGCCACUCUUUAGAUGUCCCACCCCCUGCACGUCUUUCACUCAUGAAGGAACACAAAACCAGUGGCCUAACCACAUUUCAGACCCCUGAGCUGACUUCUGUUUAUGUUCUUUCCUUUGCCUGAAAUAAUCUUCUCACUUCCCUUUUGUCCAGCAAGCUUUCUUAGUUUAAAAGUUACUUCACCUAAUUUCCUGACCAUUAAAACUGAGUUCAGUGUCCCUACUAACCCUCUCCAUAGUACUCUGAAUCCUAUAAUCACACAUUCCAUAGGUAUAAUUGACCUUAAGCACCUUGUAGAAAAUAACUUUUGUUGCUUAGUGAGACAUCAUACCUAGCAUAACUCCUGGCCCAGUAUAGAAGCUCUGUAUGUACUUGUUAAAUAAUUGAUGAGCAGUUUCAGUGCCCUUAAAUCAAUCAACUUUACAUUUUUUAUAUUAAUUUCAAUUAUAAAGAAAGUUUACAAAUACAUUUAUGUGAAUUAUUUGAGUGAAUCUUAUUCAUAAAAACCAAAAUAGAUUUGCAAAAAAAAAA